GGACUCCUUUCCAGGUACAGUUUAUUUAAUGUAUUUUACUUCUGGCAGAGCACGGGGAAUCGCAUGGGUUACCGAAGGAGGGGAAAGUCUCGUAAGGCCGGCAGGGGUUUCUGUGCGGGUGAGGGUGGGCACGAGCGUUGCUGGAGCGGCAGUUUGGGGUUUGCGAGCUGCGAUGGUAUGCGGGCAGGCACGAAACCCCGCACUGCAUUACGCGCGGCCGAGGCUUGAGCAGCAAAGGGCCGUGUUUUGCGAACAGCGAGGGAAUGACUGCGCGUCUGUCGUUCAAGGGCUCGCUGGAGGUCGGGGAGCAGAUUUCUCUGGUGGUACCGAGCGGCGUGCAGGACGGGGUGGGACGUGCCCCCGCUCUCGCCCGUGGGGGAUGGCCGGGGGCCGUGUGCUGCGGGGCCGGUGGCGUGGCCGCCUCGCCUGGACUCCCCAGCCCGCGCUCCUCCCCUCGGCGUGGAUGGGGACGGGGAGGAGCGGGGCUCCCGUGGUCACGCCGCGGCGGGGAGGACUAAAACAUGGCAGGCAGCUCUGCACCGGGAUGCUGUAGCCAUGCAAGGUGAAGGACGGACUGACAAUCGCCGGCAGAGCCACAGCAGUUACUUAUCUGCCUGAAGUUAUUUAUCCAGCGCUUUGGCGAGCUGAGGAGCCGGUCUGCAUGGAAAGAGCCGUUUGUUGGAUGCGAACAUCCCCCCGGCUGCUGCCGCAGAUUGAGCACGCUUCUGGAGGGAAAAAUACCACUUUGGUUUGGUGUCUAAUUAGAUAUUUACCAGGAAGGAAGGAGAGUUAAAAAUAGGGUGACAGUGACUUCAAAGGGUGUUUUUGACUUCUAAGAAUAACACCUUUGCUGGCACCGAUUUCAGGAAUAUCAGCUGUGCCUGGGUGUGAAAGAUGGAGCAGACGUUGCAGCUCGGUCGGCAGCCAAGGGAGCAAACCCAGACCUCCCGGCCCCCGGCCCGGCCCCGCGAGAGCAGCUAAGGAGGGGCCACUCGCAUCGCUGCCCACGGAGAGCUCAACUGCACCCGCGGGGACACAGCGGGGGGACUUCGGGGAAGACAAAGCCACUGGUGCCCCAGCGAGGGUGGGAGGGGACGUGUGGCACGAUGGGGACCCCCUCCCCGCGGGCGGUGCUGGUGCUCGCCGUGGCGCUGGCAGGGCUCUCGGCUCCCCAGGCAGCGUACAGGCAGCCCAACUUCAUCGUCAUCCUGGCAGAUGAUGUGGGUUGGGGGGACCUCGGGGCCAACUGGGCGGAGACGAAGGAGACCCCGCAUUUGGAUGAACUGGCGGCCGAAGGGACGAGAUUCGUGGAUUUCCACUCGGCUGCGUCCACUUGCUCCCCAUCCCGCGCCUCUCUGCUCACGGGGCGUCUCGGCGCACGCAACGGCGUGACCCACAACUUCGCCGUCACGUCGGUCGGCGGCCUCCCCAUGAACGAGACCACCCUGGCCGAGGUCCUGCGGGAGGCUGGGUACAGCACCGGGGCUAUAGGCAAGUGGCACCUGGGACACCACGGCCACCAUCACCCCAGCUUCCGCGGCUUCGACUAUUACUUCGGGAUCCCCUACAGCCACGACAUGGGCUGCACGGACACCCCCGGCUACAACCUGCCGCCCUGCCCGCCCUGCCCGCGGCACGGUGCAGCUGCCAGCAGGGUGGCAAGAAAAGACUGUUACACGGAGGUGGCCCUUCCUCUCUUCGAGAACGUCACCAUCGUCCAACAGCCCGUCAACCUCAGCAGCCUGGCAGCGCGCUACGCGGAGGAGGCAGCACGGUUCAUGCAGCGGGCGAGCCACAGCGGACGCCCCUUCUUCCUCUACCUGGCGCUGGCCCAUAUGCACGUUCCGCUGGGGGUCCCCCCAUCGCCCCCCGCCCCGGGCAGGGACAUCUACGGAGCUGCCCUGAGUGAGAUGGAUGCUCUGGUGGGACAGAUAAAGCGCGUCACCGACAGCCAUGGAAAGGGCAACACGCUCCUGUGGUUCGCAGGUGACAACGGCCCCUGGGCGCAGAAGUGCGAGCUGGCGGGACGCCUGGGACCGUUCGUGGGGGCCUGGCAGAGGCAGCGAGGUGGGAGCUCGGCGAAGCAAACGACCUGGGAAGGAGGGCACCGGGUGCCGGCGCUGGCGUACUGGCCCGGCCGCAUCCCUGCCAAGCGGACGAGCCGCGCUCUGCUCAGCACGCUGGACAUCUUCCCUACGCUGGUGGCCCUGGCUGGGGCGAUGCUCCCCCCGAACAGGCGCUUCGAUGGCUUGGACGUGUCCCCAGUUCUCUUUGGGUGGUCGGAUGUGGGGCACAAGGUUCUGCUCCACCCCAACAGCGGGGCAGCUGGGAAGGACGGCGAGAUAACGGCGCUGCGGCUGGCUCAGUACAAGGCGUUUUACACCACAGGAGGGGCGAUGGCUUGUGAUGGGAGCAUUGGGCCAGCUGAGCAUCACCAGCCACCCCUCAUCUUCAACCUGGAUCGUGAUAUCCAGGAGCAGGAGCCUUUGGAUGUGGCAUCCAGAGAGUAUCAGGCAGUGCUACCUGCAAUCAGCAGGGCUUACGCCCAAGCCCUGGAGGACAUCGCAACAGACAACGUCUCGGUUGCAGAUUACUCCAAAGACCCGGCCGUGACCCCUUGCUGCAACGCGCAGCACGUGGCCUGCCGAUGCCGAGCGCCCGGGACUCACGCAGCCGUGCUGGACUGUCGCACGGAAAGAAGAGCAACGCGGCUUUGUCUUUAAGCAAAUAAUUGCUCAGGCUGCUCCUUUCCUGAGCCUGGUUUCUGCGAACGGGGCUGUUGUCCAUGCUGGCGCCCAGGCUGGAGGUUGCCCGCGGAGGAGAGGGAUGGAGGCUGCGGUGCCCUUCGCUCCGUGCCACGAAGCAGGGAGGAGCGGCUGGUGGGAGCACAGGGCAGGGGAGGACGGGGCCCACAGCCUCUGAGCAAACGUCCCUGCUGGUGCUGAGACCCUGGAAGUCUGUGGCUGCAGAGAGAAAAUUCCCGGCCGGCACAAGGUGAAUGCUCUGGGAAAUGGAGCACCUGCCCCGCCAGCUGCCAAGUGAGGUUUAUUAACGGGGUUACGUUAAAUACCCAGCUGCAAAAGAAGAAGGGACCUGGGCUCUUCCUGGCUGCUGCCCUCCUCGUGCACAGGAUGCUCAGCUCAUCCUGCGGCUGCUUUGCAUUGCCACAGCAGAGGUCAGGCGCUGCCCUGACACACACCCCCAAGUCCCAGUGUUUGGAAAAGGCAUUUUUGGGAAGGUGUGGGGGAGAGGUGUGCAGUGCCAAGCUGGGGUAGCUGCUCCCCUUUGCGUGGGAAGACCAAUGGUGUAACUGGUUUUUUUUUUUUUUUUUAGGGAGGUCAGGGAGAGCUCCCUGCCCCGAGCCCUCCCAGCAGAUCAGGGAUCCGGGCAGAGAAGCUGCUCCUGCCUGUCCCAGUGCGAUGCCAGGGAGGCAGAUGGGGUGAAAGAGCUCUUGUAGGGCCAUUUCUGGGCAAAUGUAAAAGCCUGGGGAGCUGCAAAGGCAAAAUCAAAGGUGCUACUGAAACUUGAGAAACCACUGAGAUUUCUCAGCAGCUGAAUGUGGGUUUUCUGAAACAAUUUCGGACUCCGAUUUACGCACCCAGAUCUUUCUUUGGACAAGCCAUGAGUGGAUUUGUGUGAACUUGGCCUGGUGGGUCAGGUGGAAGCAGCUGUCCUCGCACCAGCCCCCCCCAAACCCACUCUCCCACUCAUAAAACUUAAUCAAGACUGACAUCUUUAGGGCCCCACAAAGAACAGCAGGAGCACGGGCAACGAGCUGCCAGGGACAGACCGUGACUUUAUUCUGUCGUUAAACAUAGCAAAUGGCAUCUUCUCUAAUAUCACUGCAAAAAUACUUUGCCUGGGUAAAAUAGUAUGUAUAUACUGUACAAAGACAUAAGUUUAAUAUAUCUUCCUAUAAGUACAUUUAUACACAUAAACCAGCAUAAAUUAGAAAAGGGACAAAUGGGUAUAUAAAAUUCUGGUUACAUACAAAUCUGAUUAAAUUAGCAUUUACAUUGUCGUUC